UCCGGUUUGUCACCGGCAGUCUCAUUAGAGUGCCCUUUCGUAGCAACUAAUGACAAGGGUUGCGCUCGUUGCGGGACUUAACCCAACACCUCACGGCACGAGCUGACGACAGCCAUGCAGCACCUGAACCGGCAGUCCCCGAAGGGAAGAUCCUAUUUCUAGGACGAUCCGCCGUUGUCUAGCCCAGGUAAGGUUCUUCGCGUUGCGUCGAAUUAAACCACAUGCUCCGCUGCUUGUGCGGGCCCCCGUCAAUUCCUUAGAGUUUUAGCCUUGCGGCCGUACUCCCCAGGCGGGACACUUAAUGCGUUAGCUGCGGCACGGGAGGAGUCGACACCUCCCACACCUAGUGUCCAUCGUUUACGGCGUGGACUAC
rnacentral:misc_RNA from 1 species